UGGGGAAUUUUGGACAAUGGGGGAAACCCUGAUCCAGCCAUCCCGCGUGUGCGAUGAAGGCCUUCGGGUUGUAAAGCACUUUUGGCAGGAAAGAAACGUCGCGGGUUAAUACCCCGCGGAACUGACGGUACCUGCAGAAUAAGCACCGGCUAACUACGUGCCAGCAGCCGCGGUAAUACGUAGGGUGCAAGCGUUAAUCGGAAUUACUGGGCGUAAAGCGUGCGCAGGCGGUUCGGAAAGAAAGAUGUGAAGUCCCAGAGCUUAACUUUGGAACUGCAUUUUUAACUACCGGGCUAGAGUGUGUCAGAGGGAGGUGGAAUUCCGCGUGUAGCAGUGAAAUGCGUAGAUAUGCGGAGGAACACCGAUGGCGAAGGCAGCCUCCUGGGAUAACACUGACGCUCAUGCACGAAAGCGUGGGGAGCAAACAGGAUUAGAUACCCUGGUAGUCCACGCCCUAAACGAUGUCAACUAGCUGUUGGGGUCUUCGGACCUUGGUAGCGCAGCUAACGCGUGAAGUUGACCGCCUGGGGAGUACGGUCGCAAGAUUAAAACUCAAA
rnacentral:rRNA from 1 species